rnacentral:rRNA from 1 species
UGGGGAAUAUUGCACAAUGGGCGAAAGCCUGAUGCAGCGACGCCGCGUGAGUGAAGAAGUAUUUCGGUAUGAAAAGCUCUAUCAGCAGGGAAGAAAAUGACGGUACCUGACUAAGAAGCCCCGGCUAACUACGUGCCAGCAGCCGCGGUAAUACGUAGGGGGCAAGCGUUAUCCGGAUUUACUGGGUGUAAAGGGAGCGUAGACGGCGAAGCAAGUCUGAAGUGAAAACCCAGGGCUCAACCCUGGGACUGCUUUGGAAACUGUUUUGCUAGAGUGUCGGAGAGGUAAGUGGAAUUCCUAGUGUAGCGGUGAAAUGCGUAGAUAUUAGGAGGAACACCAGUGGCGAAGGCGGCUUACUGGACGAUAACUGACGUUGAGGCUCGAAAGCGUGGGGAGCAAACAGG